AUUCCGGAAAAGAGCUAUCUAACAGGAAGCUAUAUAUAAUUUAUUUAGUGCGUGAAAAGCCGCACAUAUAGAAAAAAGACGAGAAGACCCUAGAAAUUUUUUAAAAGUUCAGUAAAUUCUAUUUUGUUGGGGCGACAUAGUAACACUUAACCUACUAUAUUAACAUGCUACUUAUAAGACGUAAGAUAAAAUUACUCUAGGGAUAACAGCAUAAUUUAUUAUUAAGUUUGUGACCUCGAUGUUGGACUAGGAAAUAUUUUAU
rnacentral:rRNA from 1 species